ACGGCCAUACCAUGCUAAAUAUAUCGGUUCUCGUUAGAUCACCGAAGUCAAGCAUCAUUGGGCGCGGUCAGUACUUGGCUGGGUGACCACCUGGGAACACCGCGUGCCGUU
rnacentral:rRNA from 1 species